AACACUAUACAUUCAGGGACCAUUUCUACAGUUGUUUUCUAGAGAAGUUUCUCUAUGUAGAUAGAGUUCUGGAAAUCACGAGGAUGUGCAGUGUUCUCUACUGAGAAGCUGACGCUGGGUGUUGUUUUGUGCAACUGCUCAUCACCAUGGAUGGUCAUUCCUCUCUCCCCUUGGGAGGGUUAAAGGGAGAGAACGCAGUCUGAGUGGC
ensembl:snoRNA U3 Small nucleolar RNA U3